rnacentral:rRNA from 1 species
CAAUAGCGUAUAUUAAAGUUGUUGCGGUUAAAAAGCUCGUAGUUGGAUCUCGGCAGGCAGGGGGUGGUUCGCUCUUAGCGCUACUGCCCCAUUUGCCUGUGUGAUUGGCGGAGGUUUCGGGGUGCUCUUCGUUGAGUGACCCGGGGCGCCGUCAGGUUUACUUUGAAAAAAUUAGAGUGCUCAAAGCAGGCUUUUCACGCUUGAAUAUUCGUGCAUGGAAUAAUGGAAUAGGAACUCGUUUCUAUUUUGUUGGUUUUCGGAAAUCGAGUUAAUGAUUAAUAGGGACAAUUGGGGGCAUUAGUAUUCAGACGACAGAGGUGAAAUUCUUGGACCGUCUGAAGACUAACUACUGCGAAAGCAUUUACCAAGAGUGUUUUCAUUAA